UACGUAGGGUGCAAGCGUUAAUCGGAAUUACUGGGCGUAAAGCGUGCGCAGGCGGUCCUAUAAGACAGAUGUGAAAUCCCCGGGCUCAACCUGGGAACUGCAUUUGUGACUGUAGAGCUGGAGUGCGGCAGAGGGGGAUGGAAUUCCGCGUGUAGCAGUGAAAUGCGUAGAUAUGCGGAGGAACACCGAUGGCGAAGGCAAUCCCCUGGGCCUGCACUGACGCUCAUGCACGAAAGCGUGGGGAGCAAACAGG
rnacentral:rRNA from 1 species